rnacentral:misc_RNA from 1 species
AGGGUAGUGGAGGUUCUGCUUUUAAUAGAUUGGCAUCAAGUCAGUCCAGGCUUCCUGUUAGGGGGCCCAAUCGAGCAGUUGCUUCCAGAUAUUUUUCACGGUUUUUCAGUUCAGAACCUGAUGCUUCAGGGACCAAGUUCCCUCAAACCUCUGUUAAAUCAACUGAAGCUAAGAAGGACUUGGAGCAACUUAGCAUUAAACCGAAUGUAGAUAUUCGCCUUAGUGAUUUGAAGCUUGUGUUAGGACCAGAGUUGAGGAUAGUUUAUCCGUUAAUUCUCAAUUUUGCUGUUAGUGGAGAGCUUGAGCUAAAUGGUUUGGCUCAUCCAAAAUGGAUAAAACCUAAAGGUGUUCUCACAUUUGAGAAUGGUGAUGUCAAUCUUGUUGCCACUCAAGUGAGGCUUAAGCGAGAGCAUCUAAAUAUAGCAAAAUUUGAACCUGAGCAUGGACUAGAUCCUAUGCUAGACUUAGCUUUGGUUGGAUCUGAGUGGCAAUUUAGGAUUCAAAGCCGGGCCAGCAAUUGGCAAGACAAACUGGUGGUGACCUCCACACGUUCUGUGGAACAGGAUGCUCUCUCACCUAGUGAGGCUGCUAGAGUUUUUGAGAGUCAAUUAGUGGAAUCCAUAUUGGAGGGCGAUGGCCAGCUUGCGUUUAAAAAGCUUGCAACUGCAACACUUGAAACACUGAUGCCGAGAAUAGAAGGGAAGGGGGAAUUUGGUAAUGCUAGAUGGAGGCUGGUGUACGCCCCACAGAUUCCUAGUUUACUUUCUGUCGAUCCUAAAGUUGAUCCUCUGAAAUCUUUGGCCAACAGCAUUUCAUUUGGUACAGAAGUUGAGGUGCAGCUUGGGAAACACCUUCAGGCGUCUAUUGUAAGGCAGAUGAAGGACUCAGAAAUGGCCAUGCAAUGGACUUUGAUUUACCAGCUUACAAGCCGCUUGCGAGUGCUCCUACAAUCUGCUCCUUUCAAACGCCUUCUUUUUGAAUAUUCUGCAACGUCGCAGGACUAAUUAAUUAGCCACUGCCGCCAUUUGUUGGCUGGUCUGCAUUAGAGCAGAUGAUUGGUGAUUGUGAUUAUGGCAUAUGCCUGUCCAUAUCAAUUUUAGUAAAUUCUAGUUGCAAAUAGAACAAGAAGAAUAUAGGUAAAUGUAUAAUUAGAUAGAUAGAUGUAUUGUGAUUAUUCAUUUACCUAUAUUCUUCUUGUU